rnacentral:rRNA from 1 species
GGCAACCCAUGAGUACAGCGGCGUACGGGUGAGUAACACGUGGGUGAUCUACCUCUUAGUGGGGAAUAACCCUGGGAAACCGGGGCUAAUACCGCAUAAGCCUGCAAAGGGAAAGCAGCAAUGCGCUGAGGGAGGAGCCCGCGGCCGAUUAGCUAGUUGGUGAGGUAACGGCCCACCAAGGCGACGAUCGGUAGCCGGCCUGAGAGGGCACACGGUCACACUGGCACUGAAACACGGGCCAGACUCCUACGGGAGGCAGCAGUGGGGAAUCUUGCACAAUGGAGGCAACUCUGAUGCAGCGACGCCGCGUGAGCGAUGAAGCCCUUCGGGGUGUAAAGCUCUUUCGGCAGGGACGAUAAUGACGGUACCUGAAGAAGAAGCUGCGGCUAACUACGUGCCAGCAGCCGCGGUAAUACGUAGGCAGCGAGCGUUGUUCGGAAUUACUGGGCGUAAAGAGUGUGUAGGCGGUGCUCUAAGUUCGGUGUGAAAUCUCCUGGCUUAACUGGGAGGGUGCGCCGGAAACUGGAGUGCUCGAGCGCGGGAGAGGAAAGCGGAAUU